rnacentral:tRNA from 1 species
GCCUGGGUGGCUCAGUCGGUUGAGCGUCCGACUUCAGCUCAAGUCAUGAUCUCGCAGUCUGUGAGUUCGAGCCCCACAUCAGGCU